rnacentral:rRNA from 1 species
CCUACGGGUGGCAGCAGUCGAGAAUCAUUCACAAUGGGGGAAACCCUGAUGGUGCGACGCCGCGUGGGGGAAUGAAGUUCUUCGGAUUGUAAACCCCUGUCAUGUGGGAGCAAAUUAAAACGAUCGUACCACAAGAGGAAGAGCCGGCUAACUCUGUGCCAGCAGCCGCGGUAAUACAGAGGUCUCAAGCGUUGUUCGGAAUCACUGGGCGUAAAGCGUGCGUAGGCUGUUUCGUAAGUCGUGUGUGAAAGGCGCGGGCUCAACCCGCGGACGGCACAUGAUACUGCGAGACUAGAGUAAGGGAGGGGGAAGCGGAAUGCUCGGUGUAGCAGUGAAAUGCGUAGAUAUCGAGAGGAACACUCGUGGCGAAGGCGGGUUCCUGGACAUUAACUGACGCUGAGGCACGAAGGCCAGGGGAGCGAAAGGGAUUAGAUACCCCUGUAGUC